rnacentral:rRNA from 1 species
AGUAAAAGUCGUAACAAGGUUUCCGUAGGUGAACCUGCGGAAGGAUCAUUAGCGAAGCUCGGAACGCAUGUUCGGUGUUGAUGCUGCCCAGCAAUGGGACGUGCUCGCUCGGACGUGUGUCCCUUCUCUAUUCCACCCCAUUGUGAACCAAGUGUGCGAGCCGAAGAGAGAUCGGAGGCUCGCAUGCAAACCCUUAACAUACCCCAAUGAAGUAUCAGAAUGUACCUUGCGUUAACUCGCACAAAUAUAACUUUCAACAACGGAUCUCUUGGCUCUCGCAUCGAUGAAGAACGCAGCGAAAUGCGAUAAGUAAUGUGAAUUGCAGAAUUCAGUGAAUCAUCGAAUCUUUGAACGCACCUUGCGCCCCUUGGCAUUCCGAGGGGCACGCCUGUUUGAGUGUCGUGAACUCCUCCACCCUCUACCUUUUCUGAAGGGCAUUGGGCUGGGAUUUGGGAGCAUGCGGGUCCCUGGCCGAUCCGCUCUCCUUGAAUGCAUUAGCGAAGCCCUUGCGGCCUUGGUGUGAUAAUCAUCUACGCCUCGGUUUAGCGAACAUACGGGAAUCGCUUACAGCCGUCUCGCGCGAGACAACGACUACCAACUUUACCUCUUAUCAAGCGGGACUACCCGCUGAACUUAAGCAUAUCAAUAAGCGGAGGAAAAGAAACUAACAAGGAUUCCCCUACUAACUGCGAGUGAAGCGGGAUGAGCUCAAAUUUAAAAUCUGGCGUCUUCGGCGUCCGAGUUGUAAUUUAGAGAAGCGUCUUCCGCGC